rnacentral:tRNA from 1 species
GGAAGACAUCCACACCCGGUGGUGUGCCCGGGCUUCAAACCCGGUUGGGGGCGUCAGACGUUCCCAGGUCGGUUCGACUCCGGCUGUCUUCCGCC